UUGGCGGGCGGAGGAGGGACUAGAAAGUACUUGGAGCGGGAGAAGCUGGGUGGAGAGAGAAUCUGACCAUACUUACCUUCGUCUUUUCUGUGAGGAUUUCUGUUGUGUGUUCCCCGACCUCUGAGAGAUCACACGUAGGCAGACAGAGAGAGAGGAGGAAGCAAGCUCCCCGCUGAGCAGAGAGCCUGAUGUGGCACUCGUUCCCAGGACCCUGGGAUCAUGACCUGAGCGGAAGGCAGAUGCUUAACCAUCUGAGCCAGCCAGGCACCCAAGAUGAAGGAGAAUCACCUUGCAAGCUCUUUAAAAAUACUGAAUGAUACCUGAGAAUUCUAAUUCAUUCGCUCAGGUUAGAACGUGGGCAUCUACUGUGCAGCAAGAACUAAGAACCACCAACCCAGAGCAUUUUGCUGCUUUAAAAGGAGAGCUGUUGUGCAAUUCCCAUUUUAACAAGUUCCCAUUAUAGCACAUCCCUCAAGCACUUGCUUAGGAAACUGGGAGGACUGCCAUUCCCACAGAUCUUAUUAAAGGAUAAGAAUGACAACCAUGGCAUGAGUCAUAAUGAUACAUUGCUGAUGGCCUAGCAUGUUUCUUCAAGCUUGGUUACUCUGGAUUCAUUCUGAUGAUUGAUUUCAGCUAUCUUGGAAGUGAGCUAAACUAUCUCCACAUCAGGUGUCUGAAUGACCAAUUCAGGUCUUUUAUGGUAACUUUUCCUGUGUGCUAAUUUUUUUAAAAUAUUUUAUUUAUUCCAGAGAGAGAGCAUGAGCAAGCAAGCGAGUGGGGCAGGGGAGGAGCAGAGGGAGAGGGGAGAGAGACAAACAGACAACACUGAGCACUGGGCUCGAUCUCAGGACACUGAGAUCAUGACCUGAGCAGAAACCAAGAGUAAGACGCGCAACUGACUGAGCCACCCAGGUGCCCCCUAUGUGCUAAUAUUUAAAAGUCUCUCUUGGUUCAGGUAUAAGCAUUGCUUUAUGGCCUGAUUUUUUUGGAAGGAAGAUUGUUGUGGACUGAUUGUGUUCCUCCAAAUCAUAAACGUUGAAGCCCUAACCCCAAGUAUGAUAACAUUUGGAGCUCGGGCCUUGGGAGAUAAUUAGGGUUAGAUGAGGUCAUGAAGGUGGUGCUUGCUUAAUAGGAUUACUGUCUUAAAGAAGAGACAGGAGUGCUCACUAUCUCACUCUACUGACCAGAGGAUGCAAUGAGAAGGUGGCUGUCCGCACGUGCAGUCCACAUGGACCAAAGAGAGCUCUUGUGAGUAACUGAAUCAGCAAGCACCUUGAUCUCAGACUUUGUAAGCCUCCAAAACAGUGAGAAAAUAAAUUCCUGUUGUUUAAGCCACCAAUCUAUGGUAUUUUGUUAUGGCAGUCUGAGCGGAC